rnacentral:rRNA from 1 species
UCCUGGCUCAGGACGAAUGCUGGCGGCGUGCCUAAUACAUGCAAGUCGAACGGUCUUUCUAUGGAAGCUUGCUUCCACUGAGAAGAUAGUGGCGAACGGGUGAGUAACACGUGGGUAACAUGCCCGUAUCAGGGGGGAUAAUCCAUGGAAACGUGGUCUAAUACCCCAUAGUAAUUAUGUAAGGCAUCUUAUAUAAUUUAAAGCUUUGGUGGAUACGGAUUGGCUCGCGUGACAUUAGCUAGAUGGUAAGGUAACGGCUUACCAUGGCUACGAUGUCUAGGGGUUCUGAGAGGAAGGUCCCCCACACUGGAACUGAGACACGGUCCAGACUCCUACGGGAGGCAGCAGUGAGGAAUAUUGGACAAUGGAUGGAAAUCUGAUCCAGCCAUGCCGCGUGCAAGGAAGACGGCCCUAUGGGUUGUAAACUGCUUUUGUAUGGGAGCAAUAAGGGCUACGCGUAGUCCGAUGAGAGUACCAUACGAAUAAGCACCGGCUAACUCCGUGCCAGCAGCCGC